CGGGGAGGUAGUGACGAAAAAUAACGAUACGGGACUCAUCCGAGGCCCCGUAAUCGGAAUGAGCACAUUUUAAAUCCUUUAACGAGGACCAAUUGGAGGGCAAGUCUGGUGCCAGCAGCCGCGGUAAUUCCAGCUCCAAUAGCGUAUAUUAAAGUUGUUGCGGUUAAAAAGCUCGUAGUUGAAUCUGUGUGUCACAGUGUCGGUUCACCGCUCGCGGUGUUUAACUGGCAUUAUGUGGUACGUCCUACCGGUAGACUUAGCUCCUCACGGGGCGGUCCAACCAAUAUCCCAUCGCGGUGCUCUUGAUUGAGUGUCGAGGUGGGCCGGUACUUUUACUUUGAACAAAUUAGAGUGCUUAAAGCAGGCUACUUUCGCCUGAAUAUUCUGUGCAUGGAAUAAUGAAAUAGGACCUCGGUUCUAUUUUGUUGGUUUUCGGAACUCCGAGGUAAUGAUUAAUAGGGACAGAUGGGGGCAUUCGUAUUGCGACGUUAGAGGUGAAAUUCUUGGAUCGUCGCAAGACGGACAGAAGCGAAAGCAUUUGCCAAAAAUGUUUUCAUUAAUCAAGAACGAAAGUUAGAGGUUCGAAGGCGAUCAGAUACCGCCCUAGUUCUAACCAUAAACGAUGCCAGCCAGCAAUCCGCCGAAGUUCCUCCGAUGACUCGACGGGCAGCUUCCGGGAAACCAAAGCUUUUGGGUUCCGGGGGAAGUAUGGUUGCAAAGCUGAAACUUAAAGGAAUUGACGGAAGGGCACCACCAGGAGUGGAGCCUGCGGCUUAAUUUGACUC
rnacentral:rRNA from 1 species